AAAAACCUUCCCGGUAGAUAAAAAUAAUCUUUUUUGUGAAAAUAUGAUAUUUUUAAAGGAAUUCAAUCGAUGAAUUGUAAGGAAUCAACUGAUCGGUCUAUCUAUUUUUUUUUUUGACUAUGAUUAAUGGAUACUUUUCGAUCAUGAUUCUAUUUAGACUAGGAUUCCAUUUCCAUAAGAAUUGAAUUCAAAAAUUCCUUUCGAGUUUUAGAUCUCUCAACCCCGGAGAUUGAUUAAAAAUUCAUAAAUCAUCCCAUGAAUUUUUUUUUUAUUGGAUAGUGUAUAUCUGGUAUGCACACAACACAAAAUGGGCGUUUAUUCUAUUUUCAUCAUAGAAUGAUUAUUCGAUUCUUUUUCCUCUUUUGAUCAUAAUUCAAUCAAAACUUCUCGAAUUAUCUUAAUCUGUAGGACAAAUUCUUUGAUUCUUCCAUUUCGAUGGAAUCGGAAUAGCUCCCCUUAUUCAUUAAUAUACU
rnacentral:lncRNA from 1 species